CACGUAGGGGGCGAGCGUUGUCCGGAAUUACUGGGCGUAAAGGGCGUGUAGGCGGGGAAGCAAGUCAGAUGUGAAAUCCCGGGGCUCAACUCCGGAGUUGCAUCUGAAACUGUUUUUCUUGAGUGCUGGAGAGGAAAGCGGAAUUCCUAGUGUAGCGGUGAAAUGCGUAGAUAUUAGGAGGAACACCAGUGGCGAAGGCGGCUUUCUGGACAGUAACUGACGCUGAGGCGCGAAAGCGUGGGGAGCAAACAGGAUUAGAUACCCGCGUAGUCCCUGA
rnacentral:rRNA from 1 species